rnacentral:rRNA from 1 species
GCGCAGUGGGGAUAUUGCACAAUGGGGGAAACCCUGAUGCAGCGACGCAGCGUGCGGGAUGACGGCCUUCGGGUUGUAAACCGCUUUCAGCAGGGAAGAAGCGAAAGUGACGGUACCUGCAGAAGAAGUACCGGCUAACUACGUGCCAGCAGCCGCGGUAAUACGUAGGGUACGAGCGUUGUCCGGAAUUAUUGGGCGUAAAGAGCUCGUAGGUGGUUGGUCACGUCUGCUGUGGAAACGCAACGCUUAACGUUGCGCGGGCAGUGGGUACGGGCUGACUAGAGUGCAGUAGGGGAGUCUGGAAUUCCUGGUGUAGCGGUGAAAUGCGCAGAUAUCAGGAGGAACACCGGUGGCGAAGGCGGGACUCUGGGCUGUAACUGACACUGAGGAGCGAAAGCAUGGGGAGCGAACAGGAUUAGAUACCCUGGUAGUCCAUGCCGUAAACGUUGGGCACUAGGUGUGGGGGACAUUCCACGUUCUCCGCGCCGUAGCUAACGCAUUAAGUGCCCCGCCUGGGGAGUACGGUCGCAAGGCUAAAACUCAAAGGAAUUGACGGGGCCCCCCCAC